rnacentral:rRNA from 1 species
AUUGAACGCUGGCGGCAGGCCUAACACAUGCAAGUCGAACGAGUGGCGGACGGGUGAGUAAUGUCUGGGAAACUGCCCGAUGGAGGGGGAUAACUACUGGAAACGGUAGCUAAUACCGCAUACCAUCAGAUGUGCCCAGAUGGGCUUAGCUAGUUGGUGGGGUAAUGGCCCAACUAGGCGACGAUCCCUAGCUGGUCUGAGAGGAUGACCAUGCACAUUGUAACGGAGACACGGUCCAGACUCCUAAGGGGGGCAGCCGUGGGGAAUAUUGCAAAAUGGGCGCAAGCAUGAUGCAGCCAUGCCGCGUGUAUGAAGAAGGCCUUCGGGUUGUAAAGUACUUUCAGCGAGGAGGCCUUACUCGCAGAAGCAGCACCGGCUAACUCCGUGCCCGCAGCCGCGGUAAUUC